UAUUUUCAAACAAGUCACAGUACUAAUUUUUAUUGGAAUUAUUAAAAAAAGUGAAGUAAACAGUGAAAUAUUAUACCAAAUUAUGUAAUUACUUAUUUAUAAAACGAUAAAGAAAAUCAUUGCCCAUGAUAGACAGCGAAAACUUAUCGCCUGCGGUCUACGUGACCACCGAACAUACACGAGAGGAUGAUGAAGUUCCCGAGCCCACGCACCCCUCUCGGAGGCCUUUCCACCGCCAGAGCACCACCACCGCGCCUCUGCCUUCCACUCCUCUGGCCAAAAAGCAGAACAUCAUACUGCUGAUAGCCACUGUGGUCGUGGCUAUAAUCGUGCUCAUCGUUAUAAUAUUCGUCUUGUUGUUCAUUAAGAAGUGAUAGUUGGAAAUUUUUAA